rnacentral:rRNA from 1 species
AUUGAACGCUGGCGGCAGGCCUAACACAUGCAAGUCGAGCGCGAAAGGCCUUCGGGCUGAGUAGAGCGGCGGACGGGUGAGUAACGCGUAGGAAUCUACCUGGUAGUGGGGGACAACUUGGGGAAACUCAAGCUAAUACCGCAUACGCCCUAUGGGGGAAAGUGGGGGACCUUCGGGCCUCACGCUAUCAGAUGAGCCUGCGUAGGAUUAGCUAGUUGGUGAGGUAAAGGCUCACCAAGGCGACGAUCCUUAGCUGGUCUGAGAGGAUGAUCAGCCACACUGGGACUGAGACACGGCCCAGACUCCUACGGGAGGCAGCAGUGGGGAAUAUUGCGCAAUGGGGGCAACCCUGACGCAGCCAUGCCGCGUGUGUGAAGAAGGCC